AGUGAACGCUGGCGGCAGGCCUAACACAUGCAAGUCGAGCGGCAGCGCGGGGGCAACCCUGGCGGCGAGCGGCGGACGGGUGAGGAAUUCGUCGGAAUCUGCCUUUUUGUGGGGGAUAACGUAGGGAAACUUACGCUAAUACCGCAUACGUCCUACGGGAGAAAGUGGGGGACCGCAAGGCCUCACGCAGAAAGAUGAGCCGACGACCGAUUAGCUAGUUGGUGGGGUAAAGGCCCACCAAGGCGACGAUCGGUAGCUGGUCUGAGAGGAUGAUCAGCCACACUGGGACUGAGACACGGCCCAGACUCCUACGGGAGGCAGCAGUGGGGAAUAUUGGACAAUAGGCGCAAGCCUGAUCCAGCCAUGCCGCGUGUGUGAAGAAGGCCUUCGGGUUGUAAAGCACUUUUGUCCGGAAAGAAAUCCCUGGAGCUAAUACCUUCGGGGGAUGACGGUACCGGAAGAAUAAGCACCGGCUAACUUCGUGC
rnacentral:rRNA from 1 species